rnacentral:rRNA from 1 species
GUGCUUAACACAUGCAAGUCGAGUGCGCGGUUUGUAGCAAUACAGACUGGCGCACGGCGCACGGGUGCGUAACACGUGGGCAAUCUGCCCUCGAGUGGGGAAUAACCCGCCGAAAGGCGGGCUAAUACCGCAUGACAUUCCCCGGUCUUCGGACUGGGGAAUCAAAGUCCGCAAGGACGCUUGAGGAGGAGCCCGCGGCCGAUUAGCUAGUUGGCGGGGUAACGGCCCACCAAGGCGAUGAUCGGUAGCUGGUCUGAGAGGACGGCCGGCCACACUGGAACUGAGACACGGUCCAG